AGUUAUGUUCUUUAAACCUAAAGAAUUUGGCGGUGUUUUAGUCUAUUUAGAGGAACUUGCCCUUUAAUCGAUAAUCCUCGUUUUAUCUAACUUUAUUUUGUUUUCAAUAUGUAUACCGUCGUUAUAAGUUUAUUUUUUUAGAAAAUUAAUUUACUUUAAUCUUAAUUUUGAUUUAUUUCAGAUCAAGGUGCAGUUUAUAUUAAAGUAGAGGUGAGUUACAAUAUUAUUUUAAUAAAUGGAUAUUAUAAUUAAAAUUUUGUUGAAGGUGGAUUUAAUUGUAAUUAAAUUAAUAGUGAUUUUUUGAUUUUAGCUCUAAGAUGAGUACACAUCGCCCGAUCGCUCUA
rnacentral:rRNA from 1 species